rnacentral:piRNA from 1 species
UACCGUAAGAAGUCCCACUCAGUUAGAUGUA